rnacentral:lncRNA from 1 species
CGGAGCUGCCACAACCCAUCUUCCCACAACUCGGAACUUGGAAAAAGGAACCCAGGACACGACUUUGCUUUUCUUUUGGACCUAGUUGAUACAAGUUAACAGGAUAUGCUUCUGGCCUGUUUCUGGAUUCUAAGGGUAGAACCAGCAUAAAACUAGUCAGUCCAAGUAUUUCUAAAGAUCCACAGACACAGUUCUCCUGGAUUUGGGAAGCCUAGAGAUAUUAGCACAAUAAUUAAGGCCCAACAACUUUUAAAAGCCUUUCCACUGCACAGUGAAAGAAAACCACAAACUCCUUGUUUAAUAAGUGGGAUCAUGUGCUUUUAACAAGAGGAAAAGGUCAAUCUGAAGCAACUGAUAUGGAACUGCCAGAGUAGGAGUUGAAAAUCUUCCUAAACUGCUGGAGGAUACACCUCUGAUAGCUUGAGACAAAUAUCCUCUUGAUCAUUGUUUCACCAUAUUUGUCUUUGCUCAUGGAGAACCAUUUUGAUCCGUGGUUUAGCCUCCCAGGUGAUUGAACAAUACUGGUGAUCUGAGGCAGACCCUCUGUGACAGAUAACAGGAAAGAAUAUUGAUUGAACAUCUACUCAAGAACUGCAAAACAGAGAUUACCUGACCUAAAGCAUUUAUAUUGCCAAUCAUGUUGGAGAGUCCAUGUGGUGAUUUCUGAAAAUGAGAUGUGAGAAAGAAGAGGAUAAUUUAAGUCUAGACCUACAGAUUGUGCUGAUAAAGUGACGAAGAACUACAAUCUUCUUAGUCAUUUCAUUGUA